rnacentral:rRNA from 1 species
AACGAACGCUGGCGGCAGGCUUAACACAUGCAAGUCGAGCGCCCCGCAAGGGGAGCGGCAGACGGGUGAGUAACGCGUGGGAACGUACCCUUUGCUACGGAAUAGCUCCGGGAAACUGGAAUUAAUAUCGUAUGUGCCCUACGGUGGAAAGAUUUAUCGGCAAAGGAUCGGCCUGCGUUGGAUUAGCUAGUUGGUGGGGUAAUGGCCUACCAAGGUGACGAUCCAUAGCUGGUCUGAGAGGAAGAUCAGCCACAUUGGGACUGAGACACGGCCCAAACUCCUACGGGAGGCAGCAGUGGGGAAUUUUCCGCAAUGGGCGAAAGCCUGACGGAGAAAUGCCGCGUGGAGGUGAAAGGCACACGGGUCGUCAACUUCUUUUCUCGGAGAAGAAACAAUGACGGUAUCUGAGGAAUAAGCAUCGGCUAACUCUGUGCCAGCAGCCGCCGUAAUAC